AUAUUCUGUAGCAAGGUUAACCGAAUAGGGGAGCCGCAGGGAAACCGAGUCUUAAUUGGGCGUUAAGUUGCAGGGUAUAGACCCGAAACCCGGUGAUCUAGCCAUGGGCAGGUUGAAGGUUGGGUAACACUAACUGGAGGACCGAACCGACUAAUGUUGAAAAAUUAGCGGAUGACCUGUGGCUGGGGGUGAAAGGCCAAUCAAACCGGGAGAUAGCUGGUUCUCCCCGAAAGCUAUUUAGGUAGCGCCUCGUGAAUUCAUCUCCGGGGGUAGAGCACUGUUUCGGCUAGGGGGCCAUCCCGGCUUACCAACCCGAUGCAAACUGCGAAUACCGGAGAAUGUUAUCACGGGAGACACACGGCGGGUGCUAACGUCCGUCGUGAAGAGGGAAACAACCCAGACCGCCAGCUAAGGUCCCAAAGUCAUGGUUAAGUGGGAAACGAUGUGGGAAGGCCCAGACAGCCAGGAUGUUGGCUUAGAAGCAGCCAUCAUUUAAAGAAAGCGUAAUAGCUCACUGGUCGAGUCGGCCUGCGCGGAAGAUGUAACGGGGCUAAACCAUGCACCGAAGCUGCGGCAGCGAACGUAUCACCCAAGACAACUUUGCGGAGUUGACGAUUGACGGAGCGAAGCGACGUCAAAGCGUUCAUUAAAGUCGAGUUGGCUUAGGGAUACGUUCGUUGGGUAGGGGAGCGUUCUGUAAGCCUGUGAAGGUGGCCUGUGAGGGUUGCUGGAGGUAUCAGAAGUGCGAAUGCUGACAUAAGUAACGAUAAAGCGGGUGAAAAGCCCGCUCGCCGGAAGACCAAGGGUUCCUGUCCAACGUUAAUCGGGGCAGGGUGAGUCGACCCCUAAGGCGAGGCCGAAAGGCGUAGUCGAUGGGAAACGGGUUAAUAUUCCCGUACUUGGUGUUACUGCGAAGGGGGGACGGAGAAGGCUAUGUUGGCCGGGCGACGGUUGUCCCGGUUUAAGCGUGUAGGUGUGUGUUCCAGGUAAAUCCGGUUCACUUUAACACUGAGGCGUGAUGACGAGGCACUACGGUGCUGAAGCAACAAAUGCCCUGCUUCCAGGAAAAGCCUCUAAGCAUCAGGUAACACGAAAUCGUACCCCAAACCGACACAGGUGGUCAGGUAGAGAAUACCAAGGCGCUUGAGAGAACUCGGGUGAAGGAACUAGGCAAAAUGGUGCCGUAACUUCGGGAGAAGGCACGCUGACACGUAGGUGAAGUGAUUUACUCAUGGAGCUGAAGUCAGUCGAAGAUACCAGCUGGCUGCAACUGUUUAUUAAAAACACAGCACUGUGCAAACACGAAAGUGGACGUAUACGGUGUGACGCCUGCCCGGUGCCGGAAGGUUAAUUGAUGGGGUCAGCGCAAGCGAAGCUCCUGAUCGAAGCCCCGGUAAACGGCGGCCGUAACUAUAACGGUCCUAAGGUAGCGAAAUUCCUUGUCGGGUAAGUUCCGACCUGCACGAAUGGCGUAAUGAUGGCCAGGCUGUCUCCACCCGAGACUCAGUGAAAUUGAACUCGCUGUGAAGAUGCAGUGUACCCGCGGCAAGACGGAAAGACCCCGUGAACCUUUACUAUAGCUUGACACUGAACAUUGAGCCUUGAUGUGUAGGAUAGGUGGGAGGCUUUGAAGUGUGGACGCCAGUCUGCAUGGAGCCGACCUUGAAAUACCACCCUUUAAUGUUUGAUGUUCUAACGUGGACCCGUAAUCCGGGUUGCGGACAGUGUCUGGUGGGUAGUUUGACUGGGGCGGUCUCCUCCUAAAGAGUAACGGAGGAGCACGAAGGUUGGCUAAUCCUGGUCGGACAUCAGGAGGUUAGUGCAAUGGCAUAAGCCAGCUUGACUGCGAGCGUGACGGCGCGAGCAGGUGCGAAAGCAGGUCAUAGUGAUCCGGUGGUUCUGAAUGGAAGGGCCAUCGCUCAACGGAUAAAAGGUACUCCGGGGAUAACAGGCUGAUACCGCCCAAGAGUUCAUAUCGACGGCGGUGUUUGGCACCUCGAUGUCGGCUCAUCACAUCCUGGGGCUGAAGUAGGUCCCAAGGGUAUGGCUGUUCGCCAUUUAAAGUGGUACGCGAGCUGGGUUUAGAACGUCGUGAGACAGUUCGGUCCCUAUCUGCCGUGGGCGCUGGAGAACUGAGGGGGGCUGCUCCUAGUACGAGAGGACCGGAGUGGACGCAUCACUGGUGUUCGGGUUGUCAUGCCAAUGGCACUGCCCGGUAGCUAAAUGCGGAAGAGAUAAGUGCUGAAAGCAUCUAAGCACGAAACUU
rnacentral:rRNA from 1 species